rnacentral:misc_RNA from 1 species
AUUAAAAGCAUAAUUAAGGUCACAUCCACCAUAUCGUAACAACAAAUAAGAUAAAUAAAGUAUAAAUUUUAAUGCGAAAAAAAGAACAUAUAUAUAAUUUCAAAAUUAACUAAGCAUUUUUCUCAUGUGAAAUAAUUUGUCAUGUUUGACAAUUACUGAUAGAAUAUAAAAAAGGUUUAAUUACAAGAAUUAAUACGUGUGUGUGUGUGUGUGU